rnacentral:rRNA from 1 species
AACGAACGCUGGCGGCGGUGCUUAACACAUGCAAGUCGAACGCGAACGGGACUUCGGUUCCUAGUAGAGUGGCGCACGGGUGAGUAACGGCGUAGAUAACCUGUCUUCAUAUCCGGAAUAACACGCCGAAAGGGGUACUAAUACCGGAUAUUCUUGCAUUUCACAGGUAAGGCAAGGAAAGGUGGCCUCUUGAUUCAAGCUACUGUAUGAAGAGGGGUCUGCGGUACCAUUAGCUAGUAGGUGGGGUAAUGGCCUACCUAGGCGACGAUGGUUAGCGGGUCUGAGAGGAUGAUCCGCCACGCUUGGCACUGGAAUACGGGCCAGACUCCUACGGGAGGCAGCAUGAG